rnacentral:rRNA from 1 species
AUGGAAAGCACUUCUCUGAUAUGUAGUGCCAGGAAGUUGCAACGUGAGAGGGAGAUGCUCUGCAGACAAAUGAAAGAGUGGCUCUUGAUCCAGGAAAGAGAGAGCAUGUACACCAAGUGGGGAGUUUCACUGUCCUCCAAGAGGAGAAGGCUUCAGGUGGCACAUCGCCUUUGGACUGAAACCAAAAACCUCAAGCAUGUCAAGGAGAGCGCUUCCCUUGUCGCCCGAUUGAUCAGCCUCCUAGAGCCAGGGAAGGCGCUGAGGGAGAUGUUUGGACUAAGCUUCGCGCCGCAGCAGUUCAGCCGACGAUCCCACAAUAGCUGGAGAUAUGGACGUUCUUCUUUGGACUGA